GCACCGAUGGCUUAGUGGUUAGAGCUUCUGCCUUCGAUGCAAGAGCUUGUGGGUUUGAUUCGUACCAAAUAAUUACAAAAAUGGUACU